rnacentral:rRNA from 1 species
GCGGCAGGCCUAACACAUGCAAGUCGAACGGUAGCACAGAGAGCUUGCUCUCGGGUGACGAGUGGCGGACGGGUGAGUAAUGUCUGGGAAACUGCCUGAUGGAGGGGGAUAACUACUGGAAACGGUAGCUAAUACCGCAUAACGUCGCAAGACCAAAGAGGGGGACCUUCGGGCCUCUUGCCAUCAGAUGUGCCCAGAUGGGAUUAGCUAGUAGGUGGGGUAACGGCUCACCUAGGCGACGAUCCCUAGCUGGUCUGAGAGGAUGACCAGCCACACUGGAACUGAGACACGGUCCAGACUCCUACGGGAGGCAGCAGUGGGGAAUAUUGCACAAUGGGCGCAAGCCUGAUGCAGCCAUGCCGCGUGUAUGAAGAAGGCCUUCGGGUUGUAAAGUACUUUCAGCGGGGAGGAAGGUGUUGUGGUUAAUAACCACAGCAAUUGACGUUACCCGCAGAAGAAGCACCGGCUAACUCCAUGCCAGCAGCCGCGGUAAUACGGAGGGUGCAAGCGUUAAUCGGAAUUACUGGGCGUAAAGCGCACGCAGGCGGUCUGUCAAGUCGGAUGUGAAAUCCCCGGGCUCAACCUGGGAACUGCAUUCGAAACUGGCAGGCUAGAGUCUUGUAGAGGGGGGUAGAAUUCCAGGUGUAGCGGUGAAAUGCGUAGAGAUCUGGAGGAAUACCGGUGGCGAAGGCGGCCCCCUGGACAAAGACUGACGCUCAGGUGCGAAAGCGUGGGGAGCAAACAGGAUUAGAUACCCUGGUAGUCCACGCCGUAAACGAUGUCGACUUGGAGGUUGUGCCCUUGAGGCGUGGCUUCCGGAGCUAACGCGUUAAGUCGACCGCCUGGGGAGUACGGCCGCAAGGUUAAAACUCAAAUGAAUUGACGGGGGCCCGCACAAGCGGUGGAGCAUGUGGUUUAAUUCGAUGCAACGCGAAGAACCUUACCUACUCUUGACAUCCAGAGAACUUAGCAGAGAUGCUUUGGUGCCUUCGGGAACUCUGAGACAGGUGCUGCAUGGCUGUCGUCAGCUCGUGUUGUGAAAUGUUGGGUUAAGUCCCGCAGCGAGCGCAACCCUUAUCCUUUGUUGCCAGCGGUCCGGCCGGGAACUCAAAGGAGACUGCCAGUGAUAAACUGGAGGAAGGUGGGGAUGACGUCAGGUCAUCAUGGCCCUUACGAAUAGGGCUACACACGUGCUACAAUGGCGCAUACAAAGAGAAGCGAACUCGCGAGAGCAAGCGGACCUCAUAAAGUGCGUCGUAGUCCGGAUUGGAGUCUGCAACUCGACUCCAUGAAGUCGGAAUCGCUAGUAAUCGUAGAUCAGAAUGCUACGGUGAAUACGUUCCCGGGCCUUGUACACACCGCCCGUCACACCAUGGGAGUGGGUUGCAAAAGAAGUAGGUAGCUUAACCUUCGGGAGGGCGCUUACCACUUUGUGAUUCAUGACUGGGGUG